ACACACACACACACACACACACACAAUGCUAUGUGUUUGUGUUAUUGACAGCUAGAAUGACCAGAUGGCAGGAUAGCAGGAGACAGCUUUUGAUGUUCCCUAUCUUCCAUUUUCUCUCUUAGAAAAGGGGCACCAUCAGAACUUACAAAGAUGUAACUCUUUUACCCCAGUAAUGUUUCCAAAUUUUAAUUCAUGCAGGCAUGACUAUUGAGAUCAGCAAGAAAGUUCCCUGGAAACCUAUAUAGAAAUGAAGGAUGAUCUUGUAAAGGUGGCAGCUGACCUCCAAAGAAAAAACAUGGAAGAGGAAGCAUUUGUGGAGUACUACAAAUUUUUAACGGUUUGUGUUGCAGACUACAAAUAGAGUCUUUGAUAUUGCCGAGACACUGAAGAGCAAACUCCUGAGACAAUAAAGCAAGGAGUAUUCAGGUUUCCUGGCAGAUAAGGUAUAAGACUAAUCACUUUUCUCUAUAAAAAAAGAGAAGUGGAAGAGGCAGAAAUCAAGGCCCUCUGGGCAGAUGUAAGGAAUACAAUCAAAAACUCCCCAGACUUUGUGAAAUAGUGCUCUCCUGUGGAUAGACUCGUGGAUGGAGUUGAUGAAGAUAGUGGAGAGGUGGGCCCCAGAUUGGAAUCAGCAUCAAAAAUUUUUGAAGAAUCUUUAUCUGGAACCACUCCACAGGAAGCCUUUGAAGAGAUCACCCCCAACACAUCAUCAGACAAGCACUGUGUGGAGACUAAGGUGGUAGAAAAUCCCGGUAGCUCACCACCAGUUCAUGACUUGGAAAGACUCAUGUGAAGUGGACUCCAUUACAUCUGGCUAGCCACACCCACUUGAGACUGCAGCUCACCAGGAAAGCAAGGAGAUACUAGUGACAAGGUGCAUGAAGUCUGGAGCACUGAGCAGCACAGAGCAAGAUUCAUCCCCCUUUCCAUGUCCUCAGUGUUUGAUUCCCCGCAUCCACUUUGCUGUGGCAUGACUAUUGAGAUCAGCAAGAAAGUUCCCUGGAAACCUAUAUAGAAAUGAAGGAUGAUCUUGUAAAGGUGGCAGCUGACCUCCAAAGAAAAAACAUGGAAGAGGAAGCAUUUGUGGAGUACUACAAAUUUUUAACGGUUUGUGUUGCAGACUACAAAUAGAGUCUUUGAUAUUGCCGAGACACUGAAGAGCAAACUCCUGAGACAAUAAAGCAAGGAGUAUUCAGGUUUCCUGGCAGAUAAGGUAUAAGACUAAUCACUUUUCUCUAUAAAAAAAGAGAAGUGGAAGAGGCAGAAAUCAAGGCCCUCUGGGCAGAUGUAAGGAAUACAAUCAAAAACUCCCCAGACUUUGUGAAAUAGUGCUCUCCUGUGGAUAGACUCGUGGAUGGAGUUGAUGAAGAUAGUGGAGAGGUGGGCCCCAGAUUGGAAUCAGCAUCAAAAAUUUUUGAAGAAUCUUUAUCUGGAACCACUCCACAGGAAGCCUUUGAAGAGAUCACCCUCAACACAUCAUCAGACAAGCACUGUGUGGAGACUAAGGUGGUAGAAAAUCCCGGUAGCUCACCACCAGUUCAUGACUUGGAAAGACUCAUGUGAAGUGGACUCCAUUACAUCUGGCUAGCCACACCCACUUGAGACUGCAGCUCACCAGGAAAGCAAGGAGAUACUAGUGACAAGGUGCAUGAAGUCUGGAGCACUGAGCAGCACAGAGCAAGAUUCAUCCCCCUUUCCAUGUCCUCAGUGUUUGAUUCCCCGCAUCCACUUUGCUGUGGCAUGACUAUUGAGAUCAGCAAGAAAGUUCCCUGGAAACCUAUAUAGAAAUGAAGGAUGAUCUUGUAAAGGUGGCAGCUGACCUCCAAAGAAAAAACAUGGAAGAGGAAGCAUUUGUGGAGUACUACAAAUUUUUAACGGUUUGUGUUGCAGACUACAAAUAGAGUCUUUGAUAUUGCCGAGACACUGAAGAGCAAACUCCUGAGACAAUAAAGCAAGGAGUAUUCAGGUUUCCUGGCAGAUAAGGUAUAAGACUAAUCACUUUUCUCUAUAAAAAAAGAGAAGUGGAAGAGGCAGAAAUCAAGGCCCUCUGGGCAGAUGUAAGGAAUACAAUCAAAAACUCCCCAGACUUUGUGAAAUAGUGCUCUCCUGUGGAUAGACUCGUGGAUGGAGUUGAUGAAGAUAGUGGAGAGGUGGGCCCCAGAUUGGAAUCAGCAUCAAAAAUUUUUGAAGAAUCUUUAUCUGGAACCACUCCACAGGAAGCCUUUGAAGAGAUCACCCCCAACACAUCAUCAGACAAGCACUGUGUGGAGACUAAGGUGGUAGAAAAUCCCGGUAGCUCACCACCAGUUCAUGACUUGGAAAGACUCAUGUGAAGUGGACUCCAUUACAUCUGGCUAGCCACACCCACUUGAGACUGCAGCUCACCAGGAAAGCAAGGAGAUACUAGUGACAAGGUGCAUGAAGUCUGGAGCACUGAGCAGCACAGAGCAAGAUUCAUCCCCCUUUCCAUGUCCUCAGUGUUUGAUUCCCCGCAUCCACUUUGCUGUGGGUUUGUGUUGCAGACUACAAAUAGAGUCUUUGAUAUUGCCGAGACACUGAAGAGCAAACUCCUGAGACAAUAAAGCAAGGAGUAUUCAGGUUUCCUGGCAGAUAAGGUAUAAGACUAAUCACUUUUCUCUAUAAAAAAAGAGAAGUGGAAGAGGCAGAAAUCAAGGCCCUCUGGGCAGAUGUAAGGAAUACAAUCAAAAACUCCCCAGACUUUGUGAAAUAGUGCUCUCCUGUGGAUAGACUCGUGGAUGGAGUUGAUGAAGAUAGUGGAGAGGUGGGCCCCAGAUUGGAAUCAGCAUCAAAAAUUUUUGAAGAAUCUUUAUCUGGAACCACUCCACAGGAAGCCUUUGAAGAGAUCACCCCCAACACAUCAUCAGACAAGCACUGUGUGGAGACUAAGGUGGUAGAAAAUCCCGGUAGCUCACCACCAGUUCAUGACUUGGAAAGACUCAUGUGAAGUGGACUCCAUUACAUCUGGCUAGCCACACCCACUUGAGACUGCAGCUCACCAGGAAAGCAAGGAGAUACUAGUGACAAGGUGCAUGAAGUCUGGAGCACUGAGCAGCACAGAGCAAGAUUCAUCCCCCUUUCCAUGUCCUCAGUGUUUGAUUCCCCGCAUCCACUUUGCUGUGGCAUGACUAUUGAGAUCAGCAAGAAAGUUCCCUGGAAACCUAUAUAGAAAUGAAGGAUGAUCUUGUAAAGGUGGCAGCUGACCUCCAAAGAAAAAACAUGGAAGAGGAAGCAUUUGUGGAGUACUACAAAUUUUUAACGGUUUGUGUUGCAGACUACAAAUAGAGUCUUUGAUAUUGCCGAGACACUGAAGAGCAAACUCCUGAGACAAUAAAGCAAGGAGUAUUCAGGUUUCCUGGCAGAUAAGGUAUAAGACUAAUCAAUUUUCUCUAUAAAAAAGAGAAGUGGAAGAGGCAGAAAUCAAGGCCCUCUGGGCAGAUGUAAGGAAUACAAUCAAAAACUCCCCAGACUUUGUGAAAUAGUGCUCUCCUGUGGAUAGACUCGUGGAUGGAGUUGAUGAAGAUAGUGGAGAGGUGGGCCCCAGAUUGGAAUCAGCAUCAAAAAUUUUUGAAGAAUCUUUAUCUGGAACCACUCCACAGGAAGCCUUUGAAGAGAUCACCCUCAACACAUCAUCAGACAAGCACUGUGUGGAGACUAAGGUGGUAGAAAAUCCCGGUAACUCACCACCAGUUCAUGACUUGGAAAGACUCAUGUGAAGUGGACUCCAUUACAUCUGGCUAGCCACACCCACUUGAGACUGCAGCUCACCAGGAAAGCAAGGAGAUACUAGUGACAAGGUGCAUGAAGUCUGGAGCACUGAGCAGCACAGAGCAAGAUUCAUCCCCCUUUCCAUGUCCUCAGUGUUUGAUUCCCCGCAUCCACUUUGCUGUGGGUUUGUGUUGCAGACUACAAAUAGAGUCUUUGAUAUUGCCGAGACACUGAAGAGCAAACAGUUGUCAAAUAACUCAGCUCAUUAAAUUACCUACUUUUCUUUUCAAGUUUCUAAAGUAUGGGUUGAUUGUUGCUUGUCUCUUCUUGAAUGAGAAGCUCAAGCCAAAUUGCAAUGCUCUUCUCAAUGAGGCCCAAAUAAGAGUCAGCCUUUCCUAGCUCUGAGCUGUGUUUUCAGCAAACCACACAUUUCCAGAUGCAAAUGACAGCAUCAGUCUUAGCCAGCCUAGAGCCAGUGUACUUGGCAUUCUACAUAUUUGCAUGAUAUAACAUGGGAGCAGGAGUAAACUGUUCUGUUCUAUUGGACUUUAGAAAUAAUCAGGAAAGUGUGAGUGGCCCCAGGUCAGUUGAGAAAACUGUCCCUUAUAUAUUGUUGAGCUUAGUGCACCAUCUUCAAUCAGCAUGGCAGUCUUGGGCUGUGACUUAUGUAGGCUAUAUUGUAUAUGGAUAACCCUGCAGUUACAUGUUAUCAAGGAUCUACCCAAUACCUACAACACACCUUAGUGGGGAUUGUGUGUGAUGUUAUGAUAUUGAGAAAGUCUCUGCAUGUUUCCAUGCUGCCUGAAACCUUAAAAUUUGAUAGAGUUUCUCAUGGGCUCACAGGUUUUUU